UGUAAAAUAAAAAUCCAGGGUGAGGAAGGUCAGCAUUAAACCAGGUCAAGGCUUAAAUAGACUUCAAAAAAGAGCAAAAAAGUCCUUUAAAGGGGGCUUUAAACACAAUACAGACUUUAAAACCUUCUACAGGAAAUAAGAAGCAGCACCUGGGGGAAAGGACCUGGAGACUUUAUUAUAACUUACUCAACUUCUACUGCCACUUUGGAAGCAGAACUCUGACGUAACCUGCACAGCACAUGGGUGUUGGCCAGCACUUGGGUUCAGCAUUGUUUGCUGUUACUAUUUCAGCUCCCUCUCAGGACCAGGGAUCCUGUUACACAGACCACACCAUGGCUGUGGUUACCUGAGGACAGACUUGGAACUCCAACAUAAACAGAAAAUAUGGUACACCAUGUGUACAAGCACUCCUGUGUUCAUGGGAUGAUACAUUUCAUAAACUUAAGGGUGAUUACUGCGGUGCAAUUUGAGAAGAGCCACACGAUGCUAAGAUCAACUUAGCACAGCAAGAAAAUAGCUUUGUGUAAUAUGAUUUUGAAAAACAAGAAAUAAGCCAAAUAUCUACUUUUAGCUGUAAAAUCCUACAUCAGUGAGCAGGAUGUCAGUGAGAAAUGGAGACCUUGACAAGAUUUCCAGUCAGGAUGACUAACAAGCCAUGUGGGCAAAUGAGACUGCAAAAGCACAUGCUCCAAGUCAUCUGAAUUUAGGGAAAACACACACUCUGUGUCUGAAGCCAUUCUGAUCUAUCAGGUCCAGACUUCAACAGUGCCAGGGAAAGCAGAAAACCUCAUAAAACUGAGUGUCUUUAUAAAGUACUGGUUUUGGCUGGCAAAGGAUUCCACAGAUGACAGGUGAUUGUGAAAGUACAAGUCCUGAGAGUGGCACAUUUAAGUAACAUGGGUCAUAUUCCAACAGUGGAUGGAUGAAGUAACAUCAAGCUCACCAGCAUGAAGACAAAAGUGUUAAAAAUUACCACAAAGAUUUUGAAGCAUAAAAUAGAAUUAGUGCUCAAAAUUUCAGAGAAAUAGACAGUAUCUAAAUUAUUUUUUCAUCAAGAUUUUGCUCUGUUUUCACAAAGACUCGCUGAGGUUUUUAUUUUUAAUUCCCUCUGUCUGCCCUAUUUGAACAGUGGCAGUUCAUUACCAAUAACAAAAAUCUGUUUGCACUGCUUGUGUGCUCCUUAUGCACAACCCUAC